rnacentral:rRNA from 1 species
CUGGGAAGGGCAUUUGAAACUGGCAGACUAGAGUCUUGGAGAGGGGAGUGGAAUUCCUGGUGUAGCGGUGAAAUGCGUAGAUAUCUGGAGGAACACCAAUGGCGAAGGCGACUCCCUGGAACAAGACUGACGCUCAUGUGCGAAAGCGUGGGGAGCGAACAGGAUUAGAUACCCUGGUAGUCCACGCCGUAAACGAUGUCUACUAGCUGUUGGUGCCUUUGAGGCGUGGGUAACGAAGCUAACGCGCUAAGUGGACCGCCUGGGGAGUACGGCCGCAAGGUUAAAACUCAAAUGAAUUGGCGG